GGAGAUCUCACAGAGAGGCAGAAGGAGGCAGUGCUGAAGGUAAAGCAGUGUGGUGUGGACUUAGAGAAGCGAGCAGGAGCAGCCAUUGGGACUGCGUUAACAUGCAUUCUAAUCGCUUUCUCGUUAAGCCGCGGAAGGGAGGGGUGACUAAUGAGUCUCGCCGGAAAAAAAAAUGCCUCUGGUUGACGGGGAUGGAAUCGCGUACCGUAAAAUUUACCUGCGAACAACAAUACCCGAUGACUUCUCGCUCAUAAGGAGGCCGGCUAAAUACGGCGGCGAUCCCUUCCGAAGGGAAUUCUUAAUGAGAAAACAUCAAACUGAGAGCAGGUCCAGUGCAUUUGAUAGUCUUGAGGAUAAUUAAGGUCUACUUUGAAGAUUUUGGUGCAUGAUCUUUCCGUAAACCCCAACUGUGUGCCAGUGGAUCAUGGUGGAACAUUCAAAAAUGGGAUAUUUAAUCGUUGGAGGUGUAUCAGUUCCUCAACAUUGGAGUACAGACACUUUCAACUUUCUACUGACUGUUUUGCCACCUUUUGGAAAAAAGUCUGGAUAAUAAACAGAAGAGCUGCUGGUCCUAUAAUGGAGAACAAUGGAUGAAGCCAAGGCUGUUUAGAAAAUCAGGCCUGUCUUGCCACUCAGUCAAAAAACACACCAGGGGGGAUCAGGCACAAGAGCCCAAGGGAGGCCUGUAUUGAUCCAGACCAAAGUGUAUUUCCCCAGCACUGUGGUUUGUGUUCAACUGAUGUGCUCAGGGCUGCUUGAGGAUCAGGCCUGGUCUGCAGGCCAUAACAAAAGGAAUUGAUGCAGGAUGUCAGACCACUGAUCACCUAUCAGCACCACAAUCUAAAUCCAAGAGAAUGAAGCCCUGUAUUCUACUUGUGUUGAAUACCUUUGUGUAAUGGAAAUGUAUACUUUAACACACAAAUUCAAGGCGUACAGCUCUGCGUACAGCUUGGUUGCCAACUAGCAUCUGAAACUUGGAUCUAAAAUAGACCAAGUUGUUCCAAACCCAUAUGACAUCCUAGAAGGGUUUUCUAGCAGAAGGUCCAAACUGCUUUUCUCCAGUCAAUGAAAGUGAAUGAAAAGUGUUAGGCCUGGUCCCCAUCCAGUUUUAUUGUAUAGAAGAAAGAGCUUGGAUGUUUUGCUAAAUACCUCCUUUUCAGUUUAUACAGGUACCUUUAAGUGGUUACACAGACAAACCACAGGUUAUUCGCAAAUUUAUGUUACUCAAGACUUGAUUCAUUGCAGUAGGUGGUACGUUAGGGAAAAUGAGGUGUGCUGUGGCUCAGAAUACCAAAACACUUUAUUUAUACACAUCUAAACAUUCAUAUCUGAAAUUUAGACUCAAAUUUAUGUUUUGGGUAUCAUCCACUGACAUCUUUCAAUGAUAGAUGUGCUACAGCAAAUAAAAUAUAUUAUUGUGCAAUUUUA